GAUACACCUUGAGGGUAUGAGCCCAAUUAAGUGUAUCUAAUUUAGAAUAAAAUAUUAUUGGCAAUGCAGGUUGAUAUAGUACAUAGUUUUCAAUAAUUUAGAAUGGGGUCUUUCAGCGAUUUGAUCAUUAUGUUAUCGAAAAGCAUAAUACACGAAGGGUAAUGUUAUCCCAAUUUCAUUCAACGACAUCUCGGUGCAAAUCCUUAUUACAUCCUAAAAGCGAUAACACCUUCAUUCUCUAAAACAAGUUACAUUAAUAUUAAUGUCUGUGAAGUCAUAGAGAAAAUACCUUGUAUAGGUACAUUUAUAUCAAUUCCACAAAUUGAAUGACGAAAGUACACACAAAUGAGUGACAUAAUCGUCAUUUAAUGACAACAAUGUAUGCAGUCGUCUUAUAUCUUCAGUUUUUACCUCUACCUGACGUCACCUGGC
rnacentral:lncRNA from 1 species